UACGUAGGGUGCAAGCGUUGUCCGGAAUUACUGGGCGUAAAGAGUUCGUAGGCGGUUUGUCGCGUCGUUUGUGAAAACCAGCAGCUUAACUGUGGGACUGCCUUUGAUACUGCCUUUCUCGAGUGCAUGAGGGGGAAGCGGAAUUCCGAGUGUAGAGGUGAAAUUCGUAGAUAUUCGGAGGAACACCGGUGGCGAAGGCGGCUUCCUGGCAUGUAACUGACGCUCAGGUGCGAAAGCGUGGGUAGCAAACAGGAUUAGAUACCCUGGUAGUCCACGCCCUAAACGAUGGGCACUAGGUGUGGGAGGUAUCGACCCCUUCCGUGCCGCAGCUAACGCAUUAAGUGCCCCGCCUGGGGAGUACGGCCGCAAGGUUGAAACUUAAAGGAAUUGACGG
rnacentral:rRNA from 1 species